CCUACGGGAGGCAGCAGUAGGGAAUUUUGCGCAAUGGGCGAAAGCCUGACGCAGCAACGCCGCGUGAUCGAGACGCCCUUCAGGGUGUAUAGAUCUGUCAGUGGGGACGAAACUUGACGGUACCCACAGAGGAAGCACCGGCUAACUCCGUGACAGCAGCCGCGGUACUACGGGGGGUGCAAGCGUUGUCCGGAAUCAUUGGGCGUAAAGAGUUCGUAGGAGGCACGUAAAGUCUGGGGUCAAAACUACCGGCUAAACUGGUAGUCGCACUCAAAACUGCAGCUCUUGAGUGAAGUAGAGGCAGGCGGAAUUCCUAGUGUAGCGGUGAAAUGCGUAGAUAUUAGGAGGAACACCAGUGGCGAAGGCGGCCUGCUGGGCUUUUACUGACGCUGAGGCUCGAAAGUGUGGGGAGCAAACAGGAUUAGAUACCCUAGUAGUC
rnacentral:rRNA from 1 species